rnacentral:rRNA from 1 species
GACGAACGCUGGCGGCGUGCUUAACACAUGCAAGUCGAACGGAAAGGCCCUGCUUUUGUGGGGUGCUCGAGUGGCGAACGGGUGAGUAACACGUGAGUAACCUGCCCUUGACUUUGGGAUAACUUCAGGAAACUGGGGCUAAUACCGGAUAGGAGCUCCUGCUGCAUGGUGGGGGUUGGAAAGUUUCGGCGGUUGGGGUUGGACUCGCGGCUUAUCAGCUUGUUGGUGGGGUAGUGGCUUACCAAGGCUUUGACGGGUAGCCGGCCUGAGAGGGUGACCGGCCACAUUGGGACUGAGAUACGGCCCAGACUCCUACGGGAGGCAGCAGUGGGGAAUAUUGCACAAUGGGCGGAAGCCUGAUGCAGCAACGCCGCGUGCGGGAUGACGGCCUUCGGGUUGUAAACCGCUUUCGCCUGUGGCGAAGCGUGAGUGACGGUAAUGGGUAAAGAAGCACCGGCUAACUACGUG